rnacentral:rRNA from 1 species
AACGAACGCUGGCGGCAUGCCUAACACAUGCAAGUCGAACGAGACCUUCGGGUCUAGUGGCGCACGGGUGCGUAACGCGUGGGAACCUGCCCUUAGGUUCGGAAUAACUCCCCGAAAGGGGUGCUAAUACCGGAUAAUGUCUUCGGACCAAAGAUUUAUCGCCUUUGGAUGGGCCCGCGUUGGAUUAGCUAGUUGGUAGGGUAAAAGCCUACCAAGGCGACGAUCCAUAGCUGGUCUGAGAGGAUGAUCAGCCACACUGGGACUGAGACACGGCCCAGACUCCUACGGGAGGCAGCAGUGGGGAAUAUUGGGCAAUGGGCGAAAGCCUAAUCCAGCAAUGCCGCGUGAGUGAUGAAGGCCUUAGGGUUGUAAAGCUCUUUUACCCGGGAUGAUAAUGACAGUACCGGGAGAAUAAGCUCCGGCUAACUCCGUG